UCGGCGAUUUCCUCCGCGAGCGAGAGACAGAUCAAGCCGCGCCCGUAUUUCGCCAUGAAAUUGAUUGCGUCCGGCGUCACGUGUUCGGCCGCCAUGCACA
rnacentral:antisense_RNA from 1 species